AAGAUACUCCCUUUGUCUCAAAAUGCUUGUCUUAGAUUCGUCUAGGUACGGAUGUAUCUAAUAUUAAAACGUGACUUGAUACAUCCGUAUUUAGACAAAUUUAAGACAAAAUUUUUGGGCAGAGCAAGUAUAUU
rfam:Triticum aestivum genome assembly, contig: Triticum_aestivum_CS42_TGACv1_scaffold_159437_2DL